CAGUCGCCGCGGGAAUACGUAGGUCCCGAGCGUUGUCCGUAUUUAUUGGGCGUAAAGGGCUCGCAGGCGGUUUCUUAAGUCUGAUGUGAAAGCCCCCGGCUCAACCGGGGAGGGUCAUUGGAAACUGGGAAACUUGAGUGCAGAAGAGGAGAGUGGAAUUCCACGUGUAGCGGUGAAAUGCGUAGAGAUGUGGAGGAACACCAGUGGCGAAGGCGACUCUCUGGUCUGUAACUGACGCUGAGGAGCGAAAGCGUGGGGAGCGAACAGGAUUAGAUACCCCUGUAGUCCCUGUCUCUUAUAC
rnacentral:rRNA from 1 species